UCUGACUUUUUGGUUUUAAGAAGCACUGCACACUAAUUUUAUGCAUUUUCACACUACUGUUCCACAUCACAUCAGAAGUUGUGUGAUGUUGCUGCUACGUGACUGCAACUCUGUACCCAUCAAUGAUGAUCAAUACUUUCCUGAUCCUGUCCCUCACCAUCUUUCUCCAGCAUCUGAUCUUGCUUCAGUAUGUGUCUUGCCUCAGCAUGUGAGUCAGCCUCGGUAGACAUCUCUCUAACAAUCAGCCCUGAGUCUGCAGAAGUGGCAAGAAGCUGUGGCAUACUAACAGAAGGUCUUUGGAGAUCCAUGUGAUCCAGACUCAGAAACCUCCUCUUAAUCUCUCCUGGUCUGUGGAUUGUGGCAUAAUUAUCCUUUACUUUAGACCCAUCAUCUAUGUAUAAGCAAAUGGAUGGAACUUGAGAAUAUAAUCCUGAGGGAGAUAACCCAGACCCAAAGGACAUGCAUGAAGCUGUUGCUGCUACGUGACUGCAACUCUGUACCCAUCAAUGAUGAUCAAUACUUUCCUGAUCCUGUCCCUCACCAUCUUUCUCCAGCAUCUGUGACCUGGUCUUCAUGGAGGAGGCCCUAUGUGAAGAGCUUAAGGAUGAGUAGCAGAUGAUGAGAAGGUGUUACAAGGAGAAGGAGAUGCAAGCCAAAUUGAGAAUGAAGAACUCGGUUCCCAGGAAUACAAAAUGAAGAAGAAGCAGUUUCUGGAGAUGCUGCAUAGCAGAAGUGAGACAGAGCCAUGAUUUACAGAACCAAGGCUACUGAAGCUGACUUCUGCAGAGAAGUUCUGGUUCUGGUGUUGGAAACAUUUCAUACUUGGGAUGUGAAGAUCUUGCAACUUGAAUUUCAAAAGGACAAGAGGCAGGGAAAAUUAAGCCUGUGUUGGAAAAUGUGUGAAGAAAGGAUAGCUAAAGCUUAACUUAUCUGGUAACUUAUGUGGAGCCAGAAAUAUAGACAGUGAAAACUGUUCAAAUAUUGUCAUCCAGAGUUACAUAAUAAACUGAUUCAAUCUGAUGGUCACUGCAUGUGACUUAUAUGAGAACUUAUCUUCACUUCUAAUGCAUGAAAAAAUAAUCAAAGCAAUUCUGAAAGAAAACAUACAAUUUGAGGCUUAGAAUUUCAGAGGGCUAGAGUCCAAGAUCAUUAUAGUACUCUCUUAGAGUUUCUAUUUGUGAAGAAACACCAUGGUCACAGCAACACUUACAAAGAAAAACAUUUCAUUAGAAUUGUUUUACAGUUCUGAGAUUUAUCCUGUGAUCUUUGUGGCAGGAAACAUGGUGGCACAAAGGCAGACAGGGUGUUGGAGAAUUCUACAUUUGGAUCAGCAGGCAGGAGGAAGCAAGAAUGAGAGUGAACCAUGGCUUGAGCUACUGGAACUUCUAAACCCAUGCCCAGUGACACACUUCUUCCAAUAAAGCCAUACAUACUCCAACAAGGCCAUAUGUCUGUAUCCUUUCAAAUAAUGCCACAAUGACCCUGUGGGAUUUUCAUUCAAACUACUUCAUAUAGGAAGCAUGGCAACAGGUAGGACUUGUAGCUGAGAGCUUACAUCUAGAGAUACAACCAUGAAAAGAGAAACAGACAGACAGAUGGAUGGACAUAUGGACAGAUACUAAUGGACUAAUAGAUGGACAAAACCUUUCCAACAAUGCCACAUGUGUUAAUUCAUCAUAACCUCAGAGAACCAAAUAACGCUAUUAAAUAUGGGCUACAGAGCUAAACAAAUACUGCUCAUCUGAGGAAUCUCAAAUGGCUGAGCAGCACUUAAAGAAAUGUUCAACAUCCUUAGUCAACAGGGAAAUGCAAAUUAAAAGAACCCUGAGAUUCUACCUCACACCAAUCAGAAUGGCUAAAAUAAAAAAUGCAGGUGACAGCAGAUGCUGGCAAGGAUGCAGAGAAAGAACACUCUUCUAUUAGUGCUAAGACUGCAAGCUGGUACAAUCACUUUGGAAAUUAAUCUGGCUGUUCUUCAGAAAAAUGGAAAUAGUUCUUCCUGAACACCCAGCUAUUGUUAUAUACCCAAAAGAUGCUCCAACAUAUAACAAGACCACAUGCUCCACUCUGGUCAUAGCAGCCUUAUCUAUAAUAGUCAGAAGUUGGAAACCACCCAGAUGUCCAUCAACAGAAGAAUGUAUACAGAAAUUGUGUACAUUUACACAGUGGAUUAUUACUCAGCCAUUAAAAACAACGACUUUAUGAAGUUCUCAGACAAAUGGAAGGAACUAGAAAAUAUCAUCCUGAGUGAGGUAACUCAGACACCAAAGAAAACAUAAGUUCUCAGAAAGAAAAGAUGCUGAGGGAUUCAGCCUAUUCUUUUCCAAGACCCUGCCUUGGAUCUCAUCUCCUUCACAGAAAGGACUGGAAGAGCAAUGACUACAGGGCCAUUUGACUAUGAUCUUAGUGUCAGCUGUACAAGAUCUGCAGAGCACCUCAGCAGAAGAAACCACUCUUUUCUUUAGCAUUUUGAACACUUGUGUUGGAGGUAUGGGCUCUGUCUCUGAUUUUGGCAAUAUGUGCAAGUUGUAAGCUUUAUAAUGCAACAUCAUAAACUCCCUGCCCCUAAUAGUCUCUCAUUCCUCAGUGUUCAGAUGCCAGUCUUUCCGUUUUUACUCUAGACAUGAUCAAUAAGAACUACUUUGAACAUUUGAAGAUACUUGCAAUUAUUUUUGCCUUCUGGGUAAACCUGUGAUACUAGAAUUCAUGAUGCUGGGUGGAUGAUAAAACUCAGUACUUACUUUUCAUAUCUGUGGAUUUUCUUAAGCUCCUGGCAUCUCAAUAACCAACACCCCCCAGAUGAAUAUUACUACCAAGAUGGCUAUCUAAUGUGUUGUUACUUCUGCCUACAUGUCUUCUUGACAUUAAAAAUAAUUCAGAAAAGCCCAUUGAAAACAAUUUUUAAAAUUAAAUACACUAAGCAAUGAAACAGAGGACAAGUUAUGAAAACAUAUUUUCAAAAUGGUAGCUCCACUUCUUUAAUUUUCUCUGGCUAUUUACAUGAUUUAAAGAGAAGAGAAUAUUUUGUGUAUUGUAUUGAUGUGUCACCUGUCAAUUAAAAAUAUUUAUGGCUUAGGUAGGAAAUGGGAUGUAUGAUGUCCAGGAAAAGAAAGAAUUCUGGGAUAGAGCCAGCCAUGUGGCAGAGUAUAGAUUAAAAUAAAUGACUUCUCUUAAGUUAUGAUUCCAGUUAGAGAAGAAUCUAGUUAUAUGGCCAAUGUAUUUGUGAAUAUAUUUUUAAUCGGAGUCUUACUUCUAGAAGCAUGAGCCUAGGAGGAAGAACCUAAAGUUCUAUGCCACUAAGCACAGAAAUGCCCCCUAAUGAUUUUGGCUUCUCCUGACAGCUCUUGUUGUGAGGUCAUCAUAUUGCAAAGCUGUUUUCCAGAAAUGAAUUAUUUCUCACUAGCCCUGUAUGCAUGUCCUGAUCAUUCUCUUUAGAGGAUAAAAUGAAAAAAAAAAAAAAAAGAAAAGAAAACAACAAUCAGGUUAGGAGGAAAGCAUGAAUCUUGAUUCACAGGAAAGUGAACCUCAUUUAUAUCACCUUAAUACAACACUGUUCUUCUCCUUUCAGACCUUAAACAGUAAUAUGAAAUAAUGUCCUAUGUAAUAUUCUUCCUCCCUUUAUUUUCUAUCCGUACAUCUUCUAUAAAGUCUACUCAAAGUCAUCUUUUCAAGUAUCACAUGUGCCAGAAACACUGCACAAAGAUGUCUUUUUCUUCUUCUUCUUGGUUUAGAUAAACAAAGAGCUUCCCACAGGG